UGGGGAAUAUUGCACAAUGGGCGAAAGCCUGAUGCAGCGAUGCCGCGUGAGGGAAGAAGGUCUUCGGAUUGUAAACCUCUGUUUUCAGGGACGAUAAUGACGGUACCUGAGGAGGAAGCUCCGGCUAACUACGUGCCAGCAGCCGCGGUAAUACGUAGGGAGCGAGCGUUGUCCGGAAUUACUGGGUGUAAAGGGAGUGUAGGCGGGAAAACAAGUCAGAUGUGAAAACUAUGGGCUCAACCUGUAGACUGCAUUUGAAACUGUUUUUCUUGAGUGAAGUAGAGGUAAGCGGAAUUCCUAGUGUAGCGGUGAAAUGCGUAGAUAUUAGGAGGAACAUCAGUGGCGAAGGCGGCUUACUGGGCUUUUACUGACGCUGAGGCUCGAAAGCGUGGGGAGCAAA
rnacentral:rRNA from 1 species